rnacentral:tRNA from 1 species
UGGGAUGUGGUCUAAUGGCAAGGCACGACACUGUUAAUGUCGAAGAUGGUGGUUCGAAUCCAUCCAUCCCAG